AUGAGCACUAGAACCAAGACCGACUUCCAUUGCCCCCAACAAUGCACAGACUGUUGUUUUCAUUCACCUCACUGUCCGUCUCCAGAUUCUUUUGGAGCUGGGGCUUCCUUAAUCUCAUCAACGUCAUCCUCCUGUAACCUGAGCAGCUUUGUACGCGUUCAUGGUGCUCUCGGCGGCUUCCUUCCUCUCCCCACCGGACUUAAACUCUGCAAGCUACCUGUGGUAGUCGCCCUUCAUCUUGAGAUAGAAGACUUUGGACUCGGCAGCUCCGGCGGAUGGCACGAGGUGGGAAUCAAGCAGGGCGAGGAUGCCGUCGCAGAUCUUUGCGAGCUCGGCCUCGAUCUUGCUGCGGUAGGAGCGGAUGGUGGCGGCGUGCGCGUCGUUGCCCCGACCUUCCUCCUUCUGCUCGAUGGAGGAGAUGAUCCUCCAGGACGCGCGCCGGGCCCCGAUGACAUUCUUGUAAGCCACAGAGAGCAGGUUGCGCUCCUCGACGGAUAG
rnacentral:rRNA from 1 species